AUACGGAGGGUCCAAGCGUUAUCCGGAUUCAUUGGGUUUAAAGGGUCCGCAGGCGGGGAAAUAAGUCAGUGGUGAAAGCCUACAGCUCAACUGUAGAACUGCCAUUGAUACUGUUUUUCUUGAGUAUAGAUGAAGUGGGCGGAAUAUAUCAUGUAGCGGUGAAAUGCAUAGAUAUGAUAUAGAACACCGAUUGCGAAGGCAGCUCACUAAACUAUUACUGACGCUCAGGGACGAAAGCGUGGGGAGCGAACAGGAUUAGAUACCCCAGUAGUCC
rnacentral:rRNA from 1 species